rnacentral:rRNA from 1 species
UAGGGAAUCUUCGGCAAUGGACGAAAGUCUGACCGAGCAACGCCGCGUGAGUGAAGAAGGUUUUCGGAUCGUAAAACUCUGUUGGUAGAGAAGAACGUUGGUGAGAGUGGAAAGCUCAUCAAGUGACGGUAACUACCCAGAAAGGGACGGCUAACUACGUGCCAGCAGCCGCGGUAAUACGUAGGUCCCGAGCGUUGUCCGGAUUUAUUGGGCGUAAAGCGAGCGCAGGUGGUUUU